GAUUGGCAGGAGUGAUGAAUCAAUUAGAUGUGCGAAGUUACCUUAUGAGCUUGACUUUUGAGGCAUACAUUCUGUCUGACGACCUGCCAAUC